UACGUAGGGUGCGAGCGUUGUCCGGAAUUAUUGGGCGUAAAGAGCUCGUAGGCGGUUUGUCGCGUCGACUGUGAAAACCUACAGCUUAACUGUGGGCUUGCAGUCGAUACGGGCAGACUUGAGUUCGGUAGGGGAGACUGGAAUUCCUGGUGUAGCGGUGAAAUGCGCAGAUAUCAGGAGGAACACCGGUGGCGAAGGCGGUUCUCUGGGCAUUACCUGACGCUGAGGAGCGAAAGCGUGGGGAGCGAACAGG
rnacentral:rRNA from 1 species